UUCUAACCGUAAACGAUGACAACCAGCGAUUAGUCGGCGUUAAUAUAUGACCCGACUAGCAGCUUCCGGGAAACCAAAGUUUUUCGUUUCCGGGGGAAGUAUGGUUGCAAAGCUGAAACUUAAAGGAAUUGACGGAAGGGCACCACCAGGAGUGGAGCCUGCGGCUUAAUUUGACUCAACACGGGAAAACUCACCCGGCCCGGACACCGUAAGGAUUGACAGACUGAGAGCUCUUUCUUAAUUCGGUGGGUGGUGGUGCAUGGCCGUUCCUAGUUGGUGGAGCGAUUUGUCUGGUUAAUUCCGAUAACGAACGAGACUCCGGCCUAUUAAAUAGACGAUAUAUUUAAAAGUAUAUCGCGCUUCUUAGAGGGACAAGCGGCGUCUAGCCGCAUGAAAUGGAGCAAUAACAGGUCUGUGAUGCCCUUAGAUGUCUGGGGCUGCACGCGCGCUACACUGAAAGAAUCAGAGUGCGCUUUGCCUAGUUCGGAAGAACCGGGUAACCCAAGUAAAUUCUUUCGUGCUUGGGAUAGGGAAUUGCAAUUAUUUCCCUUAAACGAGGAAUUCCCAGUAAAUGCGGGUCAUAAGCUCGCGUUG
rnacentral:rRNA from 1 species